GAUGAACGCUGACAGAAUGCUUAACACAUGCAAGUCAACUUGAAUUUGGGUUUUUAACUUAGAUUUGGGUGGCGGACGGGUGAGUAACGCGUAAAGAACUUGCCUCACAGCUAGGGACAACAUUUAGAAAUGAAUGCUAAUACCUGAUAUUAUGAUUUUAAGGCAUCUUAGAAUUAUGAAAGCUAUAAGCACUGUGAGAGAGCUUUGCGUCCCAUUAGCUAGUUGGAGAGGUAACAGCUCACCAAGGCGAUGAUGGGUAGCCGGCCUGAGAGGGUGAACGGCCACAAGGGGACUGAGACACGGCCCUUACUCCUACGGGAGGCAGCAGUGGGGAAUAUUGGACAAUGGACCGAGAGUCUGAUCCAGCAAUUCUGUGUGCACGAUGAAGUUUUUCGGAAUGUAAAGUGCUUUCAGCUGGGAAGAAAUAAAUGACGGUACCAACAGAAGAAGUGACGGCUAAAUACGUGCCAGCAGCCGCGGUAAUACGUAUGUCACGAGCGUUAUCCGGAUUUAUUGGGCGUAAAGCGCGGCUAGGUGGUUAUGUAAGUCUGAUGUGAAAAUGCAGGGCUCAACUCUGUAUUGCGUUGGAAACUGUAUAACUAGAGUACUGGAGAGGUAAGCGGAACUACAAGUGUAGAGGUGAAAUUCGUAGAUAUUUGUAGGAAUGCCGAUGGGGAAGCCAGCUUACUGGACAGAUACUGACGCUCAGGCGCGAAAGCGUGGGUAGCAAACAGG
rnacentral:rRNA from 1 species